CCCGCGCCUCUCCCUCCCCACCUCCCUGCAAGCAGACGGAGCCGGUUCCGACCUCAGCCAGCCCAGAGAGAGGCUCCCAUAGUGCAGCGGCGGGCUGAAGGGCUCGUCAAGCAUGGCCAGAGUGGGCACCGAGGCCGAGGAGGCGCCGAGAGCGAGGGAGGGCAGCCAGCACGCUGUCACCUCUCACUGGGACACAGUUCAGAGCCUAGCCCUGUGGUAACACUUCUUGAUAACAAAGAACAGAAUCAUAGGAGAGAGGAGCACCAGGGGUUGACAGAAGCAGCCUUUGAAUCAGGAAGCAUCAGGACUACAAGUGGGAGGGCAGAAUCCACCUCCCUCAAUAUGCUGAAGCAGAGAAAACUCCAGAGAACGGCCAGGGCAUCCUGGGAUUACAAGCAGCAGAGGGCAGUGUAGAUGCAAAGGAGGAACCAGUUGGCAUGAUGACAACGUAUUUGGCCCUGGCAAUAGAUUAUGGCUGGUACAAACCAGUUCUCAGGAUAUCUUACAACUAGAGGCAGCCUUAAGACCCUGUUUUGUCGAGAAUACCUACUUGGAAGUCUAGUCAAAAGGUAUUUAUUAAGGUUUUUGCUUUCCUGGUUAAAGGAGAUGGUUGUAGCUACCCAUCCUUUCUUGUUCUUCACCCUUCUUUUUGCCUUGAAUGGAGUCAGGGUAGUUGGGACUGCAAAAGUCAUUUUGUGACUAGAGAGAUCACCUUAACCUCACUGAGCUUCUGAGUCAAGUCAAUAACUGUGUAUCUCCAGACUUUUUAUUGUAUGAAGGGAAAAAGAGUUCUAUUUAUUUA
rnacentral:lncRNA from 1 species